UAGGGAUCGCGGCGACGCGCACCGUACGCUGCGUAGGCUCUGCGUUGGUGUAACGCGGAACCAUAAAUCAGGCUUUAGGAGGAGUUUGCGGGUUUCGGGUGUCGAGGAAACAUCUGGAACUGACAGGGAAGAAAAAAAAAAUCUGAGAGUAAAAGGUGUGGCUGAGGAUUUUGUAAGGUUCAGAAAAUUGUUACAGAAUUGUCUGCAAACGAGAGCGACAAGACACUACAGCAAAGAUUUUGAGCAUUUGCUCAGUAAACCAAAGAUAUUACAAAGGCCUAACAUAUGUAUUACUGUUGGUCUGCGCACCUUUUAAAGCUUAACCCCUCCCCACAUCUGCUCUGAUUAACUGGACUGUUGCGCAGUUAAGACUCGUGAAUUUCUAUAAUUUUUAUUUAUUUUUUACAUUUUUUUUUGUCUUUACUGCUUUGCGGAUCGUGUAGGUUUCAUAAGUGUGUGAUAUGUAACAGACGUGGCAACUUUACAGUAGCCAGCCCAGCUGAGUGCCACAGGCAAAACUGGGCGUGGGGGGAAGCGGUCCAAAAAGAGACUAAUGAUCCACAGAUCUUUCUCAAGAGAGGUGCAAAUGUGCGCAUAUUUGUAAUAGCACGACUACACUUAACCUGCGCUUCAGUGGAGCCCAGUAGAUUGAAGUACGUGCGACUGUCAAACGCUAUUUGGAAACUUUUUUAGCGAAGGUGACAUUUAAAGGCACACGAAAUGUCGUGUGUGUGAUAGGGUUUAGUUCAGACUGUGGUUUUGUUUCAGUUCAAGCAGCCGUGCUUUUAUGAAAGUCUGUAUUUUCUGGUCACUGGGAUGGAGCGGGUGUGUCCUCAGCAAUGAAUGUACAUCCAAGCAGAAGAAAUGUGCCUACAGCAGAUCUCCACGUCUUUUAACCAGCUUAACAAACCAGACGUCGGGAUGGAUCUUCCUGCAGGGAUCUAGAGGUGUGGAGCGGCCCAGAGACGAAUGAAUGCCACCUACGCCACGGGACCAGGGUGGCUUACACCUGCGGCAGCUGUUUCGCCAGCUGCGAAGAGCAAAACAGAAUUGCAAAGCAUGAUGAACGCACAGCUGCUGCAAACGGAUGUGGAGGAAGAUCUUUAAAGGAGGACUGAUUCCACAGAAACACUGCCGUCAAACAAGAUUUAGUACCGACUCAUAAAGCUUUUCUGAUCUAAUUGAACACAUGCAUUCUGCUUCUAUCAGUAUGUACGUUAUAAGAAUAAACAUUUAAGCUUA